rnacentral:rRNA from 1 species
UACGUAGGGGGCUAGCGUUGUCCGGAUUUAUUGGGCGUAAAGAGCGUGUAGGCGGCCAGGUAGGUCUGCUGUGAAAACUCGAGGCUCAACCUCGAGAUGUCGGCGGAAACCAUCUGGCUAGAGUCCGGAAGAGGAGAGUGGAAUUCCUGGUGUAGCGGUGAAAUGCGCAGAUAUCAGGAAGAACACCCGUGGCGAAGGCGGCUCUCUGGGACGGUACUGACGCUGAGGUGCGAAAGCGUGGGGAGCAAACAGG